UACGAAGGGUGCUAGCGUUGUUCGGAAUGACUGGGCGUAAAGGGUGCGUAGGCGGUAAGAUGCGUCUGAUGUGAAAUCCCUGGGCUUAACCUAGGAACUGCAUUGGAUACGGUCUUACUAGAGUCCGCGAGAGGAAGAUGGAAUUGUGCGUGUAGAGGUGAAAUUCGUAGAUAUGCACAAGAACACCGGUGGCGAAGGCGAUCUUCUGGAGCGGUACUGACGCUAAGGCACGAAAGCGUGGGGAGCAAACAGGAUUAGAUACCCCAGUAGU
rnacentral:rRNA from 1 species